AGGCCAUUUCGGCACCCGGGCUUCCCAGGGGGCUGUCGUCAAAGCCAGCCGCUCCCUCUGCUAAUCCUGCUGCCCAGCUCCCUCCCACAAAUGUUGAUCCCAUCAGUGUUCCUCAUAUGCAUCCCGCAUACAAAAGCCCCUCCAAGGCUGCUCCCCAGAGUAUCCAACCCGUGCCUCAAUGCCUCUAUGGAGAAGAAAAAGAAAUUCAAUUUACAAGGGAAGUGGUACAGGUUAAGCCAGAUGGUUAGAAAAAUUGCUUUCAUUGUUAUCUUGGGAAUUUUCCUCCUCCAACAGGUUAAAGCUCAACCUAGGAGAAGGCUGGGCAGCUCAGCCAAGGUGGUCAUUUGCGUGGUUCCAAUCAGAUAAAGGAGCACAGAAGAACUCUCAGGGAGGCACACUGAGCUACGUGGUCAGCCUCCAAUCUCCUUUGACCAAGAAACUGAGGCCUGAUUACAGUGCUAUUAGUCAGUUACAUGUUCAUAAGUGAUAAAAGAUUAAGAAGAAAUAGGAUCACCUUAUUAAUGUACAUCCCAAGUCGUUGCUUCAAGGACAAACUCUCCG
rnacentral:lncRNA from 1 species